rnacentral:rRNA from 1 species
UAACUGAAGAGUUUGAUCAUGGCUCAGAUUGAACGCUGGCGGCAGGCUUAACACAUGCAAGUCGAGCGGGGGAAGGUAGCUUGCUACCGGACCUAGCGGCGGACGGGUGAGUAAUGCUUAGGAAUC